GCCUUCGUGGUGUAAUGAAUGGUCAGCACACUGAGCUGGUAUUUCAGAGGUCCGUGGUUCGAUCCCCGGCGAAGGCC
rnacentral:tRNA from 1 species